rnacentral:lncRNA from 1 species
GUAAAUUUGUCACACUAAGAUAUUCAGGUUGUACCAUUUAGGAAAUAGUUUAACCACAAAGGACAUUAAGCAAUGCAUGCAAUAAGUUCAAUUUAAAUUCAUUGCAGAGCUGUGGCAGAGAUGGACUAGAAGCCCACCAAUCUAUUUCCUUUUUCUGAGCACAAAAGAAAACAACAUUUCCCAAUCUCUCUAGCAGUUAGGUUGAGAUGAUGUCACAAUGGAAAAUGGGCCAAAGUAGUAUAUGCCAAUACUACUCAAAGUGUGGUCUGGGGUACACUGCUCAUUCAUGAAUUGUUUCUUGAUGGUCCACAAUGACGUAAAGAUAGGGCAGCAAACCGUUGAAAAAAUACUUAAGGAGAGACAAAGAUGUUUGCUGUCAGGAUAAGAGGAAAAUUGCUACAUAUUUAAAGGAUAACGACAAGGCAAAGCAGAAGCCUGGCUGAGUGAAGAAUGGAUGAAAAGUCUCUGUGAAACAGCAUCUGGGCAUUUCCAUCUUCUCUUCUCAACCCUAACUACAGAGUUACAGCCAAGAGAAAGGAAUUCUUAAAAAGUACCAGGAUUUGCCUAAGAAGAAGCAAAGACUGCCUGGUGCAGAGAGGAGCCCUCACAGCCCAGGUCUCCAGCAGAUAUUCUGGUUCGCAUGUUCCAUAUGAAGGAAGCCAUGUAUUAAAUUGAGAUGAGCCCUUGCAUUUCAUCACAGAAAGUAAGGGGCUCCUCCGCAUUUCAACAUGAAGAGGUGUCAGCUUUCUUCUCCUCUACUGACUGGUACUACUACUGCCUUACAAUGUAAG